UACGGAGGGUGCAAGCGUUAAUCGGAAUUACUGGGCGUAAAGCGUGCGCAGGCGGUUUGUUAAGUCCGCUGUGAAAUCCCCGAGCUCAACUUGGGAAUUGCAGUGGAUACUGGCAAGCUGGAGUAUGGUAGAGGAAGGUGGAAUUCCUGGUGUAGCGGUGAAAUGCGCAGAUAUCAGGAGGAACACCAAUGGCGAAGGCAGCUCGCUGGGACGGUACUGACGCUGAGACGCGAAAGCGUGGGGAGCAAACAGG
rnacentral:rRNA from 1 species